CAUUGUGCCUGCAAUGCAGAGGCUGUCGGGAGGGACACAGAUUGAUCUGGAGCUAUUGAGACAACACUGAUACGCUGCUAAAACUAUGGACCCACGUCAGCAAUCACUUCAGGACAUUGGUGAGAGAUUGGAGGAAGAGGUGAGGAAGAGAGUGACAAUAGUAGAACACCAUCCAGAAGGCGAGGUCAGAACAGGUGCAUCAAAGCUGGGACCGAGAGACUGAAAAACAGCUUCUAUCUCAAGGCCAUCAGACUGCUAAACAGCCAUCACGAACUCAGAGAGGCUGCUGCCUACAUUCAGACCCAAUCACUGGACACUUAAAAAAAUGGAUCACUAAUCACUUUAAAUAAUGCCACUUUAAUAAUGUUUACCUAUCAUACAUUACUCAUAUCAUAUGUAUAUAAUGUAUUUUAUACAAUCUCUUGCGACUUGUCUAUGCCGCUCGGCCAUCGCUCAUCCAUAUAGUACAGUUGAAGUCGGAAGUUUACAUACAUCUUAGCCAAAUACAUUUCAACUCAGUUUUUCACAAUUCCUGACAUUUAAUCCUAGUAAAAGGUCUCUGUCUUAGGUCAGUUAGGAUCACCACGAAAUUUUAAGAAUGUGAAAUGUCAGAAUAAUAGUAGAGAGAAAGAUUUAUUUCAGCUUUUAUUUCUUUCAUCACAUUCCCAGUGGGUCAGAGGUUUACAUACACUCAAUUAGUAUUUGGUAGCAUUGCCUUUAAAUUGUUUAACUUGGUUCAGACUUUUUGGGUAGCCUUCCACAAGCUUCCCACAAUAAGUUGGGUGAAUUUUGGCCCUUUCAUCCUGACAGAGUUGGUGUAACUGAGUCAGGUUUGUAGGCCUCUUUGCUCGCACACACUUUUUCAGUUCUGCCCACACAUUUUUUUAUGGAAUUGAGGUCAGGGCUUUGUGAAGGCCACUCCAAUACCUUGGUCCUUGUUGUCCUUAAGCCAUUUUGCCAUAACUUUGGAAGUAUGCUUGGGGUCAUUGUCCAUUUGGAAGACCCAUUUGCGACCAAGCUUUAACUUCCUGACUGAUGUCUUGAGGCGUUGCUUCAAUAUAUCCACAGAAUUUUCCUCCCUCAUGAUGCCAUCUAUAUUGAGAAGUGCACCGGUCCCUCCUGCAGCAAAGCACCCCCACAACAUGAUGCUGCCACCCCUGUGCUUCACGGUUGGGAUUGUGUUUUUCAGCUUGCAAACCUCCCCUUUUUCCUCAAAACAUAACAAUGGGCAUUAUGGCCAAACAGUUCUGUUUUUAUUUCAUCAGACCAGAGGACAUUUCUCCAAAAAGUAUGAUCUUUGUCCCCAUGUGCAGUUGCAAACCGUAGUCUGGCAUUUUUAUGGCAGUUUUGGAGCAGUGGCUUCUUCCUUGCUGAGCGGCCAUUCACGUUAUGGCGAUAUAAGACUAGUUUCGUCUCAGCCUCCAGUAUUUAUGCUGCAGUAGUUUAUGUGUCGGGGGGCUAGGGUCAGUUUGUUAUAUCUGGAGUACUUCUCCUGUCCUAUUCGGUGUCCUGUGUGAAUCUAAGUGUGCGUUCUCUAAUUCUCUCCUUCUCUCUUUCUUUUUCUUUCUCGGAGGACCUGAGCCCUAGGACCAUGCCCCAGGACUACCUGACAUGAUGACUCCUUGCUGUCCCCAGUUCACCUGUCCGUGCUGCUGCUCCAGUUUCAACUGUUCUGCCUUAUUAUUAUUGGACCAUGCUGGUCAUUUAUGAACAUUUGAACAUCUUGGCCAUGUUCUGUUAUAAUCUCCACCCGGCACAGCCAGAAGAGGACUGGCCACCCCACAUGUGCUCUCUCCAAUUCUCUCUUUCUUUCUCUCUCUUGGAGGACCUGAGCCCUAGGACCAUGCCCCAGGACUACCUGACAUGAUGACUCCUUGCUGUCCCCAGUCCACCUGGCCAUGCUGCUGCUCCAGUUUCAACUGUUCUGCCUUAUUAUUAUUGACCAUGCUGGUCAUUAAUGAACAUUUGAACAUUUUGGCCAUGUUCUGUUAUAAUCUCCACCCGGCAUAGCCAGAAGAGGACUGACCACCCCACAUAGCCUGGAUCCUCUCUAGGUUUCUUCCUAGGUUUUGGCCUUUCUAGGGAGUUUUUCCUAGCCACCGUGCUUCUACACCUGCAUUGAUUGCUGUUUGGGGUUUUUGGCUGGGUUUCUGUACAGCACUUUGAGAUAUCAGCUGAUGUGCGAAGGGCUAUAUAAAUAAAUUUGAUUUGAUUUGAUUUUACUUGGAUAUAGAUACUUUUGUACCUGUUUCCUCCAACAUCUUCACAAGGUCCUUUGCUGUUGUUCUGGGAUUGAUUUGCACUUCUCGCACCAAAGUACAUUCAUCUCUAGGAGACAAAACUCGUCUCCUUCCUGAACAGUAUGAUGGCUGCGUGGUCCCAUGGUGUUUAUACUUGCAUACUAUUGUUUGUACAGAUGAACGUGGUACCUUCAGGGGUUUGGAAAUUGCUCCCAAGGAUGAACCAGAAUUGUGGAGGUCUACAUUUUGUUUCUGAGGUCUUGGCUGAUUUAUUUAGAUUUUCCCAUGAUGUCAAGCAAAGAGGUACUGAGUUUGAAGGUAGGCCUUGAAAUACAUCCACAGGUACACCUCCAAUUGACUCAAAUGAUGUCAAUUAGCCUAUCAGAAGCUUCUAAAGCCAUGACAUCAUUUUCUGGAAUUUUCCAAGCUGUUUAAAGGCACAGUCAACUUAGUGUAUGUUAACUUCUGACCCACCGGAAUUUUGAUACAGUGAACUUUAAGUGAAAUAAUCUGUCUGUAAACAAUUGUUGGAAGAAUUACUUGUGUCAUGCACAUAGUAGAGAAUAUGUUUACAUAGAAGUUUGUGGAGUGGUUGAAAAACAAGUUUCAAUGACUCCAACCUAAGUGUAUGUAAACUUCUGAUUUCAACUGUAUAUGUACAUGUUCUCAUUCACCCCAUUAGAUUUGUGUGUAUAAGAUAGUUGUUGGGAAAUUGUUAGAUUACUUGUUAGAUAUUACUGCACUGUCGGAACUUGAAGCACCAGCAUUUCUCAACACUCGCAUUAACAUCUGCUAACCAUGUGUAUGUGACCGCUAACAUCUGCUAACCAUGUGUAUGUGACCAUUAACAUCUGCUAACCGUGUGUAUGUGACCAAUAACAUCUGCUAACCAUGUGUAUGUGACCAAUAACAUCUGCUAACCGUCUGUAUGUGACCAAUAACAUCUGCUAACCAUGUGUAUGUGACCAAUAACAUCUGCUAACCAUGUGUAUGUGACCAUUAACAUCUGCUAACCAUGUGUAUGUGACCAUUAACAUCUGCUAACCAUGUGUAUGUGACCAUUAACAUCUGCUAACCAUGUGUAUGUGACCGUUAACAUCUGCUAACCAUGUGUAUGUGACCAUUAACAUCUGCUAACAAUGUGUAUGUGACCGUUAACAUUUUAUUUUAUUUGACAAUAUCACCAUGUACACUGAGUGUGCUAAAAAUAUGUUAUUUCCUUGACAUAGACUAACCAGGUGAAAGCUAUGAUCCCUUAUUGAUAUCACAUGUUAAUUAAAUCUGUGUAGAUUUUUAUUUAACUAGGCAA